CUGUACAUCCUUUCGACCUCGCUCUCUGCAUAUGUAUAUAUUUUUAUAAAGCCAUGCUCUGUUUUAAGUAUUGUAGCCCUGGUCACUGAUGCCCUGUCCGACUGACGUAGCGCCCCGUAACGUAUGUCAAGGCUCUGCCUAAAUUCGUUGGGGUUCUGUCUCGUGACGUAGGGAUAAUGUGGAAUUGGGUUACUAUACUUAAUGUGAGUACACUAUAUAUUUUAUUAAAUAAUUCAGGAGUUGUACCCAAAAUAUAACAACCCUCCCGAAUAUUUUUCUGACACCCUACACUUCCUAAGAUACACCCCGUAUAUGAAAACCGAGCCCGAAAUACAAUAUACUAUUAAAAAUAAUUAAAAACAAGAAAAUAUAAGUUUAGGCGGGCCGCCUAAAGAUCCUCGAUUAGCUAACGCGGGCCGCGAGAGGUUAGAAAGGUGGCGCAGCCCUGGGCCGCCACGUGGCAUAACACCCGUCAAGCCUACACAUCAACUCAGCAUAGCUAUACGUUGACUUUGGGUCAACGCGGGCCGCGUAAGACCUGCUCUCAUUUGACGCGGGCCGCGAGAGAGUCCAGUAUCAGCACUAUAUAAAGGAGCCAUCGGGUUCAACUAGAGUUCGUUCAUUCUUCGAUUCUCAAUCUCAAAUUCUGAUAGUAGAGUUAUUAUACUCGGGUAUUAUACCCCUAAUUAGCGAAGCUCUGCCUCGUUAUUAUAACCAGGGAAUCAAAAAGGAAAGCCCUAGAAUAGCAAUUAUGACCGUAACUUAGUAUGAAGCCAAUAAAAGCCAGCUGGAGAGCACUGAAGGCUUGGAAAAGUGGCAAUAAAGUUACCUAAAAUAAAAUAGAUGUUUUUAUUAAAUAAAAUAGGAUUUAUUCCUAUGAAAAUGUAUGUACUGCAAAACUUGGGUUUUAUCCUAUGUGUUUAAUCUUAU
rnacentral:lncRNA from 1 species